UAAAUUAUUGUUGACUAUAGUCACAAUGUUGUGCUAUUAAAUACCAGAUCUUAUUCAUUCUAAUUAUGUUUUUGUACUGAUUGACUACCCCUAUUUCAUCCCCACAGCCCCACUACCCUUUCCAGCCUCUGGUAACCAUCCUCUCUAUCUCCAUGAGUUCCAAUAAACAGGUUAUAAAAUUGAUUAAAAUUGCAGUACAUCAACUCUACACAUAUACCUGCUCUGUUACUGGAGACUAAUGUAAUCCAAAUAUGUGGAAAAGUCAAAUAGUUCUCAGCAAAAUUAAUUUAGAUGGAUGGAUCAGAUAACAACUUGGAACUGAACCUAAAAGGAUCAUUCCUACUAAAAGGCAAUCAACUGAUCAAGAUGGCACAGUUCUAAGGGCCAGCCUAUACUUUUUUUUGCCUCAUCCAUUAUUCCAAGUCACUAACAUGAUGCUUGAUAAUGAAUCUAAGAGGAAUAAAAGAAAAGUACA
rnacentral:lncRNA from 1 species